ACCAGCAGGACCACUACAGAUAGAACCAGGCAGAAAAUAUUCUAUCAGCAACUAUACAUUAGCUUGAUAGGUUCAAACACGUUGUCUACAGUACUGUAGCAGCGAAUAUUCUUAGUAUGGAUUACAAACAUUGCUAUUGGAGUGGCAAAUAUGCUCAUGAUAGGUUAUGCUUCACAAGACUACACUUAGGACAGAUGAGCAACACCUCCACCUCUCGCCUUCCAGCAAUGGGACCUCGAAAUCUCGAGUACCAGCAGCCGGACUGGACUCAGGCGCGACGCUUGGGGCUCUUAUAGCCUGCCACCUUUUGUGAGGUCACAGGGUGACGGUGACUCUGUGGUGGCAUCACAAGGGUCUCGGGGUGCCCCUGAUGGCAGCACUGACAGAGGGCACCUGCCUGUGGUGAGGAAGUGCUGAGGUGAGAUGGCUGCUCCACGCUGACAGGAACAAUGUCUGCCAGGCUGGGGUCCAGGCCAGGAGGGCGGCCCGCGGCCUGGAUCUGCCCCUGGGAGCCAGGGACGUCCUGGCAUUAUCCCCCACAUCCCCGGCGCUGUUAAUAAAGAAUACCUGCUUUCUAAUUUGCUACA